AGGACGAACGCUGGCGGCGUGCUUAACACAUGCAAGUCGAACGGUAAGGCCUUUCGGGGUACACGAGUGGCGAACGGGUGAGUAACACGUGGGUGAUCUGCCCUGCACUUUGGGAUAAGCCUGGGAAACUGGGUCUAAUACCGAAUAUGACCAUGGGAUGCAUGUCUUGUGGUGGAAAGCUUUUGCGGUGUGGGAUGGGCCCGCGGCCUAUCAGCUUGUUGGUGGGUUACGGCCUACCAAGGCGACGACGGGU
rnacentral:rRNA from 1 species